UCUACCCCUAGAGGCAUUGCAAAUGUGCCUGCUGUGUCAUAUGUACAUCAGCAGGUGGCACAGAGGAAAGCAACUAUGUCAAUGCUCAGUGUUCUGACCUAUGAACAGCUGAGUAAUUAAUAGCUUAAUGUU
ensembl:snoRNA LOC120101303 small nucleolar RNA SNORA17